rnacentral:rRNA from 1 species
AGAGUUUGAUCCUGGCUCAGAUUGAACGCUGGCGGCAUGCUUUACACAUGCAAGUCGAACGGCAGCGGGGGCUUCGGCCUGCCGGCGAGUGGCGAACGGGUGAGUAAUGCAUCGGAACGUGCCCAGUCAUGGGGGAUAACUACGCGAAAGCGUAGCUAAUACCGCAUACGCCCUGAGGGGGAAAGCGGGGGAUCGCAAGACCUCGCGUGAUUGGAGCGGCCGAUGUCGGAUUAGCUAGUUGGUGGGGUAAAGGCUCACCAAGGCGACGAUCAGUAGCGGGUCUGAGAGGAUGAUCCGCCACACUGGGACUGAGACACGGCCCAGACUCCUACGGGAGGCAGCAGUGGGGAAUUUUGGACAAUGGGCGCAAGCCUGAUCCAGCCAUGCCGCGUGUCUGAAGAAGGCCUU